rnacentral:lncRNA from 1 species
UGCGUGCAACAAUGGCGACUUCGGUAGCUUCAGCGCAUUCGGCAGGAGAGGGCCUAGAUGCCGAAAAAAAACAGAUUCCAAGUGGAGCUUGAGUUCGUCCAGUGUCUUGCUAAUCCACAUUAUUUGAAUUAUGUCAUCAAAGAGCAUGUAAACACACUCAGAUUCCACUCAUGCACGGAUAAGAAACACUUCCCUCUCUGGACUCAACUGACCCAACGGCAGGAUUUCAAAGUAAAAUCAUCGACUACAGUCUGCAGCAACCACUUUAAAUACGGCCAGCCAUAUCCUGAUGAACUUCACCCAUCUUUAUUUUUGAGAGGAUACGACCUUCCUGAGACACUGAAAAGAGCACCGGUGAAGAGUCGAGCAUUGGAUCUCACUACACCACUGCCGGCCAUCUGAGAAAAUCAAAACC